CUGGCUCAGGAUGAACGCUAGCUACAGGCUUAACACAUGCAAGUCGAGGGGCAGCAUGUGGUUGCUUGCAACCAAUGAUGGCGACCGGCGCACGGGUGAGUAACGCGUAUCCAACCUUCCCCUUAGUAGAGGAUAGCCCGGCGAAAGUCGGAUUAAUACUCUAUGUUCUUCAAUGCGGGCAUCUAAGUUGAAGCAAAGAUUUAUCGCUAAGGGAUGGGGAUGCGUCUGAUUAGGUUGCAGGCGGGGUAACGGCCCACCUGGCCUACGAUCAGUAGGGGUUCUGAGAGGAAGGUCCCCCACACUGGUACUGAGACACGGACCAGACUCCUACGGGAGGCAGCAGUGAGGAAUAUUGGUCAAUGGGCGCGAGCCUGAACCAGCCAAGUAGCGUGCAGGACGACUGCCCUAUGGGUUGUAAACUGCUUUUAUCAGGGAAUAAAGUGAGGCACGCGUGCCUUUUUGUAUGUACCUGAUGAAUAAGGACCGGCUAAUUCCGUGCCAGCCGCCGC
rnacentral:rRNA from 1 species